rnacentral:tRNA from 1 species
GGUAAAGUGACUGAUUAAGGUGAUAAAUUGUAAAUUUAUUUAUGGGUUACCCUUUACU